GUGAUUCAAGCAAACCCUAAACCUACUCCACCUCCACACACACCGCCGAUUACAUGGAGAGAGAACGAUGAGAGAGAUCAGAAAGGAGAGAGAGAACGGUGUGUGUCGGAACGGCGGCGUUGCCUAUCACUGGUGGUGUGGUGGUGACUAGAGAAAUUAUCAGUGUGUGGUGGUGCCGGAUUCACGGUGCGGUUCCGGUGGUGACGGAAUCAGGGUGCGGUUCCGGUGGUGAUUAGCGGCGUAGAGAAGAUGCUAGGGUUCCGGUGAAGGUCGGGCAAAAUUACGGUACCACGGGUGUCGGGAUCAACAUGAACAGACGACACCACGGGUGUCGGGAUCUCUGCCGGUGAGAGAUCUGAAAGUUUUAGGGUUCCGACGAGUCAGCUUAGCUCCGGUGAGAACCUGCUUUCCUGAACCAGGGAAGAUUGUUUUCGUUGUGUCAUUCAAUGGAUACUUCUUGCCAAGUUUUUAGGUGUAUUGUUAGGCUAUAGGGUGUGGUCAUGACCCUUAUGACCAUCAUGACCCUCCAUGUUAGUGCCAUGUAACCCACCUCUAUUCCACCAUCCAAAACCACUAUCCUAAGGGUGUGGUCAUGACCCAAACCACUAGCCCCUUAUUUAUUUUAAUUUAUCUUUGUUUAAAGAGAAAAAAGGAAAUGAUUUGUUGAAAAAUGGAAAAGAGGGUCAUGGUUGCCAUGGUUUAAUCCAUGCAAACCAUGGUGGAUCAAUCAAGGGGGUGGUGUAGUCUUCUAUUUAUGUUCCUAGGUGGCAAAUCAUGUACCAACCAUGACCCCCACACCCUAUAGCCUUACAAUGGCACCUUGAUUUCCACAUAAAGUAAAAGAAUAAAGUAUCUAUAAUUUUUUUUCUAUAAUUCUUUUAAACGAUUUCAUGUGAAAUCUACAAAGAGUCUUGAAAAGUAACUGUGCUUCAAUCAAAAAUAUAUUAUAUUAGAAGGUUAUAUGUAUAUGCAAACCUAAGUAGUUGAUGAUAUUCGAGUAAAGCAUUAUUGUAUAAUGUGUUUAUAGUAAGAAAAGUCUUUGGUAGUUGAUCAUGAACUUUAGAAGAGUGUUGUUCUUUCAAUGUAACGAAAAAGUAUAUGGAUAUUGCAUAAGAUAGAAAAGAGCUUUUACUAGAGUUACAUGUCCUGAAAAGACAUUAAGGUAUGAUUUACACUUAUGAGGGGGUGAUUGUUGAUAAUCAUAUUGUUACCGAGCCGAUUACUUUACUAAAAUCGACAGAAGAGGAGGGAUGGUCAUCCGGCGGUAUGAUGGUGAGUUUGCGGGUUCCGGCGAGGCAGUGAUUGACCAAGAUAAUUUGAAAACUUUCUGUGGUCAUAAAGUAUAGAUGUGGAACUCCAGGAACUGCCAAGAAGAAAGGAAUAACAUGAUCAGGAACAUACAUUCAAGAACUGAAGUGUUCGUAGUAAUUAAGAUCGUCGUAGAGUAUUAUUGGCGACAUAUCAUGUGAUUACACCAAGAAUGAUUUGGUUUAGCAUGAUCGUGUUAUGAGUUGUGAUGUCAAACGUACACACCAAGAAUGAUUAAGUUUAGCAUCAUUGUGUUAUGAGUUGUGAUGUAAAGCGUACACACUAAGAAUGAUUGAUCCGGUUUAGCAAAGAAUGAUUUGGUUGAGUGCGCCGUAACGCGGCGCUGCGCAUAAAACUAGUUACUACAAGAAUAAGACCGUCCGUAAUAGGGCGUAUUUUCUAAAAAAAAUUCGAAGAAAGCGCCGGAAAACGCCCCAUCGCCACUACACACCGGCAUUUUUGGGCGUGAUUUCGGCAGAAUUAGUAUGUGGCGUUUUUUGAAUCACGCUGCAAGGGGGUUUGACCGGCCAAUCAUGUGCUUCCAAUUCAAAUACCUUUAUAUUUA
rnacentral:lncRNA from 1 species